AACAGCAUUCCUGUAUUUUUAAACAAUACCAAAAAUACUAAAAGCAUUUAAAGAAGAUUUACAAUUUGUGAAUGCGUUUUGGGGAUCCAGCGAUUCAUAUAACUAGUAAGAAAAGUUUAGAACUAGUUUAGAAAAUUAAUAUUACAGACUGGAUUAUUUUUAAUUUGUGUUGUUUCACUUAAUUUUGUGAAAAACACUAUAAUAAGAAGAAACGUAUUAUUUGCCCACUGUGUACUCUAAAUAUGGUAGUCUAUAUAGUUUGUGGAAGUUGCAGUAUAUUGCAACAACAUUUGAAGGUAAACACCAUGAAGUAAUAAAUUGAAAAUGGAAACACAUAACUUUACCUAUGACUUUGCUACAAAGGAAAGUUAUAAACUGUGGUAUGAAAAACAGAAGAUCAAGAUAAAUUAUGCAUUCGCCAAGCCAAGAAAAUAUAAUGACUGCGUGGAAAAAAACUUUCAAUUAUUAUCGUAAUCAUAGUAAAUCAGCCAGGACACGUCAGCAAUUAUUGUUCUAAAUGAACAGAGAAGGCCAGUAGUUCAAUAAAAA